UGCCGCGUGCAGGAUGACUGCCCUAUGGGUUGUAAACUGCUUUUGUCCAGGAAUAAACCUAAAUACGUGUAUUUAGCUGAAUGUACUGGAAGAAUAAGGAUCGGCUAACUCCGUGCCAGCAGCCGCGGUAAU
rnacentral:rRNA from 1 species